rfam:Ruminococcus sp. CAG:17 genomic scaffold, scf94
ACAUAUAAAAGGCAAACCUGUUGAAAAGCAGGGACGCAAAGCCAAGGGUCUAAGGUCACAAUUGAAAGACUAUGAUAGCCGGUUGCCGCA